UGCUGCCUUGUUGGAUUUCUUCCUGAUUUUUUUGAAGCUCCGAUUUAUAACUUCAGGUGGCCUGCACCAGACCCACAGGGCAGUAACAGUCUUCCACUGAAUUCUUUAGCAGUUUUUACAAUUGCGUAAGGUCAGUCGCUUUAAUAAUUCCCUUAUUCCAUAUCACUUAUACUGGCAUUGCUUUUCUGCUAAAACCUGGACUAAAAUAAAUGAAUUCUGGUUUUUUUGAACCAAACUCUGACCAAUAAAACUUAAAAGGUAAUGGCCUAUCUUUCUAGUUCAUUUAAUAGAUAGAGUUAAAAGUUCAUUCUGGGCUUAUUCUUCAC
rnacentral:lncRNA from 1 species